rnacentral:rRNA from 1 species
CGGACGGGUGAGUAACGCGUGGAUAACCUGCCUCACACUGGGGGAUAACAGUUAGAAAUGGCUGCUAAUACCGCAUAAACGCACAGUACCGCAUGGUACGGUGUGAAAAACCCAGGUGGUGUGAGAUGGAUCCGCGUCUGAUUAGCCAGUUGGCGGGGUAACGGCCCACCAAAGCGACGAUCAGUAGCCGACCUGAGAGGGUGACCGGCCACAUUGGGACUGAGACACGGCCCAA